UAAAUCAUUCUUGAAUGUAUGUUUAAAGCCUAAUUUGGUAUAGUUCUGACGCUUUCUUGUGUGAACCAUAAAAUUCUGUUAGUUUACUAUAUUACAUAAACAUGUGAUAAAACAACGUAGUAUGAUACCAUAGUUUUGUUGUUCAUAUACUUUGAUAUUAGUUGCUUGGAAAUAAUACUCCUGGGUCUUUUACAUUGAUAUGACUUAUCAUAUUGCAGCAUUUGAGUUCCUUAUCUACAGUGAUAUGACUUAUCAUAUUGCAGUAUUUGAGUUUCUUAUCUAGAACCUUGUUAAUUCUUGCACGUUUAUUUAAGUGAUUUUUGGUUUCACUUUAAUCACCUAAAGUUGGUCUUAAAUUAUCGAUAACAUUUUUAUGAACUGGAUUGUUUUUCCAAUGAUUUUCUAUUCCAUGGUUGCAUUUAUACACGAUCCACUAACUAUUGUCAUCUAGGGUUGAUGUGCUUAGGUUGAAUCAAGGUAUGUUGAGCUGGGUCUGAACUCUGAACCCCUAAGUAACACCCGUAAUCCCACAUUUUUCCCCUUUCUCAUCUAUUCUUCUCUUAACUACUCUUUACCAUUUGAGCUUUUCUACAUGAAAUUCAAUCACCUAUGCAAAAUCCUUUAUAAUUAUAUAGAAAAGUAAAAAUAAUCAUGUUCUUUGUGUUUUGUGGUGGCUUUUUAGAUACUUAUUUNNNNNNNNNNNNNNNNNNNNNNNNNNNNNNNNNNNNNNNNNNNNNNNNNNNNNNNNNNNNNNNNNNNNNNNNNNNNNNNNNNNNNNNNNNNNNNNNNNNNNNNNNNNNNNNNNNNNNNNNNNNNNNNNNNNNNNNNNNNNNNNNNNNNNNNNNNNNNNNNNNNNNNNNNNNNNNNNNNNNNNNNNNNNNNNNNNNNNNNNNNNNNNNNNNNNNNNNNNNNNNNNNNNNNNNNNNNNNNNNNNNNNNNNNNNNNNNNNNNNNNNNNNNNNNNNNNNNNNNNNNNNNNNNNNNNNNNNNNNNNNNNNNNNNNNNNNNNNNNNNNNNNNNNNNNNNNNNNNNNNNNNNNNNNNNNNNNNNNNNNNNNNNNNNNNNNNNNNNNNNNNNNNNNNNNNNNNNNNNNNNNNNNNNNNNNNNNNNNNNNNNNNNNNNNNNNNNNNNNNNNNNNNNNNNNNNNNNNNNNNNNNNNNNNNNNNNNNNNNNNNNNNNNNNNNNNNNNNNNNNNNNNNNNNNNNNNNNNNNNNNNNNNNNNNNNNNNNNNNNNNNNNNNNNNNNNNNNNNNNNNNNNNNNNNNNNNNNNNNNNNNNNNNNNNNNNNNNNNNNNNNNNNNNNNNNNNNNNNNNNNNNNNNNNNNNNNNNNNNNNNNNNNNNNNNNNNNNNNNNNNNNNNNNNNNNNNNNNNNNNNNNNNNNNNNNNNNNNNNUCUCUCUCUCUCUCUCUCUCUCUCUCUCUCUCUCUCCAUUUCUCUCCCUCUUUCCCCACCCUCUCCCUGUUUUUGGUAUGCUCCAAUUCAGCACGGUACGGACCUAUACCAUACUGAACUAGUCCUGGCUACGACCUCCGGUACUGGUUCGGCUACUCUAAACAAUCCUGAAUUGUCCAUGGCCUACUCUCACAUUCUUCUGUGCACUCAAUGUGAUAUUCCUUGUAAUGUAGCCGCAUUGCUCUAGACAUGAUUCCUUUUAUGCAGGUUAUAAGGGCAUUUCUUCUUUAUGUAAGUGCCCAGCAUGAUUUGUUGGUACUGAAGGUAACAUAUCUAAUUAAUGUUUAAGAUCAGAGUGGACAGCUUAUCCGUUUCUCUUGUUGAAGUUUGUGGUUCAGUCAACUUUAUGGUGUAGUUGGUUAUGGUGACAUCCAAAUGAACCUAUGUAGCAUUACUCUCAAAUGAUUGUGUUAACUCUUCUAUCGAUGGUUUGGUUUUCUUGUUUAUACUUUUUACAGCGCAAUGCCUUUUCAUCGAGCCUCUUUCAAUUAGUCAUGUAUCAGUGGUCAUUUUGUUUUUUGAUAUGUACAUAAUGUAUCUAGAUGCUGUGUUAAAGUUCUGUCUUCUUUGUUUCUGUGAACAGGUUUUGUCAAUGAGGGCUGUUGCCUGUGUCUCAUCAUGGUGUAAUCAGCUAAUUAAAGAUCGUUCCCUUGAUUCUGCAUUUACUUUCUUGUGGGAUUUCUCUUGGAAAGUUAUUAAGUCUCCUGCAUAUGAUUCCGAGGCAUGUUCAAGUGCUUAUGAAACAUUUGUUCAAUAUCAACAUAUAAUUAUCAUUUUGAUUUCUCCCCCUUCUCUUGGAUAAUGUGUUAGCUGAUAAUAGUGAUCUUUAAUUUUUCACUUUGUCCCAGAGUGGAGCAGAAAUUCGUUUAGCAGCAUAUGAAGCAUUAGCAUGUGUCUUGAAAGCAUUGUCUACCUAUUUUAAUACUUCGUGUUUAGAUUUUGUUAUGGCAUAUAAUGAAUCACAUUUUUCAAGUGAGGAAGUCAAACCUUUGUUAGAUCUUCUGGUUCUUUGCUUCUUGCACAAUAUCAAUGAUCUGCUUGCUAUUGGAGUUUUGGCACGAAGUCGACGAGCAGUUCUAAUGAACUGGAAGGUGAAAAUGUUCUAUAAUAGUUUGUUUUUUUGAUCUCCAUUUAGAAGCUUGUUUUGCUUAGAUCUUGUCCAAUCAUUUAGAAAAACAUGUGCUGUAUGUUACAUGGAAGUUAACAUGCUAUUGAUUUUGCUAGUGGCAUUGUCUAGAUUCUCUGCUGUCCGUUCCUUACAUAGUCACUGAAAAGGGAGUUUAUCUAAAGGAUGCAUAUCCUUUAUUUUCAGUUUCAACUCUCCGAAGUAUUUUUUUUGAUAUUGUUGAAAGGUAAUGAAUCCACUAUGCUGUUUAAAAUAUUUCUGCAAAUUGUUAUUCUUAUGUGUAAAUUAUCAGAUAUAAUUGCAAAGAUCCUGAGAAGUUAAGAUUGGAAUAUUUUCUUUUGCAUGAUGUCACAUUGCUCUAUUUCUCAUACAAGACGAAAUGCAUGUAAUCUUCUAUGUACCAUGCGGUCACCAAAAGUUAACUUAAUAAUGCAAAAUUCAAUCAGAACUUAUGUCUAGCUUAAGCUGGACGACACGUAGACAUCUCUAGAAGAGUCUUCUAGCUGAAAGUCCGAUUGUUGUGGAUUGAAAUAGGAAGUAAUAGAUGGGAUAGGCAGCUAGAAGAAGGACAUGAACCUAAAGGGAUCAUGGGUAUUGUUAUAAGCAUUAUACCAGUUUUUUUUUUUGAGUUUGAACACUGGUUUAAAAAUGUAUUUUAUGUUGUGGGCCUAAUUUCUAGAUUAAAUUCUACUCAGACAAGUUUGACAAGGAAGCCUAGGUAGUAAUUUAGUUGAGCAUGUGGAAUCUGAAUUGGCUGGAUUGCUAAAAUCUUAAAUGACUGGAUUGGGUCAUACAAGGAUUGCAUGUUUUGGCGUUUUGAUCCAUAUGUGAUGCAUAUGUUCUAGAUAUAUCAAAACCCUUGAUCCAUAUGUGAUGCAUUUAUAUUUCGGUCGAAAAGAAUAAACAUGUGCUUCAGUUAAACAGAAUAAACUUGUGCUUCGAUUAUUUUCUUAUGGACCCUACCCAGCCCGAUAAUCCAAUUAGGGCUUCACUUGUCAGUCAUGUACCUUAAAAAAUAAAAGUGAAAUAGGGCCAAGGAGAGGAUCUAUUUGGUUGGGCAUCUAAAUAUGGUGAGAAAGAUAGCAGAGAAAAUUAAAGUGGAAGAAAAUAUGAUAAAUCCUAAAGAUGCUUUCUGCUCCACUUUCCUCUUUAACUAUUUUCUUUUUUGCUUUCUCUUAACCAUGAACUGCAUGACCUUCCUAAUCAUUCAAACCAAGCCUUUGCUAGCCCAUGGCCCAUUAUACAACCGCCCCUAUUGCAGGGGCAUAAUACUUGAUUUAAUUGUCUUUGUUUUGGGAACCGGAUAGACCUGACCUGUUUAUAAUUGGGUUCAUUUGAUAUAAUCCAACAUAUUUAUUUUGUGUCGGCUCGGAUGGGUUGGUGGGUCUGGGUUAGAAAUUGCCCACUCUAGCUCGUAUUGACCAGUUGUUUGGUUGAUUUUUUAUAAGUUUAUCUUCUCCAAAUUUUGAUUCUAUUGCAUCUGCUUCCAAAUUUGGUUGCACGAUAUACCUUGGUAGCAACAUAUCCUGAACAUCUCCAUUUUUCCUGUUCACAAUCAUUACUACAUCUAAACAUGAUCUUUACUUAGCUCAAUAGUAGCUUCUUGGAUAACUUGAGUAGCUUCUUGGAUAACAUGAAGCAUAAAGAAAGGAGUCCCGAGUAUUUUUGUAAGUAGCCAUCCACGGUUUUCACUAUUAAUAUUUUGAUAGCUAUGUUACUUGUGCGCUCCUUUUAAGUUGUUUGGAAGUGUCAAUACUUUUGGACACCUGGACAUGACAUGACACUACACGGCUUGACACUCCAAUUUGAAGUUUCCUGUUUUUGUCAACAACAAGUUCUGAUGCUUGGCACCUUUUUUGGAGUGUAAUGUAGGGGUACUCGUAGUUUUAAGUUUUGGACACUUUUAGUAAAUAUGUAUCCUUAAAUUUUUCUAGACACUUUAACAAAGGUGUCCUCGAGUUCUUCUAGACAUUGCAAGCGAAGUGUCCUAACAUUUUAAUUUAAAUUUACCAAGAUUAUAUAGACACUUUAAGUGGAAUAUCAUUAUAUUUUAUAUAUAAAUAUGUUAUAGUUAGCUAUGAAUUUAAGUAUCUCGACACAUCUUAAGUAAAUGCAGCAAAUAAAUUAAAUAACUUGCAAACUCAUGGCUAUUCCAUUAAUAUAUUUGUUAAAUAGCAUCUACUAAUUUCAAAGUUUGCUAUUUUUGUAUCAGACCCUGUACCAGUACCAUCCUAUUAUAUUGUCGAUACACAGUACAAUACGGACAAGGUGUACGAGUGUUGGUAUGAUACGAGAUUGCGUAUUGGUUUGGUAUCGGUACGAUAUGAUACCAACCAAUAUGGUAAACCUCAACUAAUUCUAAGUUCUUUUUUUUUGAAUAAGCAUUAAAAUCAAGAUAUGCCGAACCGGUGCCGGUAGGCGUACCGGUUUGGUACUGGUCGAAUCGGUAUUGAACCGGCAACAACGCGGGCGCGCUGCGGACAAAAUGCCACUCUGUGGCAUUUAAAAAAUUGCCACAGAGUGGCAUUUAAAAAAUUGCCACAGAGUGGCAUUAAAAAAAAGUGCCAUAGAGUGGCAUUAAAAGAAAAUGCCACAGAGGCAUUUAUCCGAAGCGUCCGGUUCGCACCGGUACAAAGCGGUACCGGACUUGUAUCGGUCCGGUUCGCACCGGUACGCCCUCCAUAUCGCUCAGUUCCGGCCCCAUAGAGACCGAAACCGUUUUCCAUUGUCGUACCAUACCGGUCAGGGACCGGACCCUACACGCCGGUUUGCACACCAUGAUUAAAACUAAUGAUUGCUGAAUCGAGCCGAAUCGGCCGGUUCAGCCCGAACCGAGCCGGCCCGGUCUCCGACCGGGUUCGCUCUCCAUUGGAAAACGGUUCUGGCCUUGUUGGGGCCGGAACCUGAUUGGAUGUGGCCAAAACCGGUUGGAACUGACCGAAAAUUAACAAAAUCAGAUGGUUCUGUCCGGUUUGAAUCGGUAUCGAACUGUACCGAUCGCCGAUCGGUACGGAUCUCGAUACCGGAUUGAUCGGUACGGGUCUCGUUACUGGUUCGACGAUUGAUUAAAACACACAAACACACUACAUAGAUGUCCAUAUGUAUGUACACAAGGACACACGUAUGUAUGGAUGCCAUGUCCCUAUGCCUAGAUCUUUGGAGGAUGUCAUGUCUGAUGCUUGAGGACACUUAGACACAUGGCAUCCAAGUGUCAGAUAAUACUGUUUGAUAGACCUUUCUCUAGGUGGCAGGUAGUUAGCUUACUGGUAGCAUUUGUUUCGUCAUUACAGGAGGCAGGUGAGUGACAGUAUCCUUACUGAAAAUUCAAUUUGCUUAACAUAAAUUCAAUUUAUCCACCAUAAAUUCAGACUUAAACAUUCAGACUUAAACAGGCAAAUUCAAUUUGCUUAACCAUAAAUUCCAUUGGUAUUAUGCUGCUUAUUAUGGAUCUAUCCUACUAAAUCACUCGUUCACUUGUUAACAUUUAUCCACCAUCUCGUAGUUUUGUCUGCUUCAUGUUAGAGCCUCUACUAUCAAAUAUGAGAAGAAAAAGUUAUCCUUCCAAUACAAUCCUCUUACCUUAGAGGUGGAAUGUGUGGAAAUGACAUAGCUAGGUCUUCUAGGAAUGGUUAAUCAGAUGAUGCAUACACUCUUUAACAUGCUUGCUUAAAAAACAUAUCUGUUCUUGCGGACUAUAUGCUCUAAAAUUUACAGAAUUAAAAAACUAAGCAAAUACCCCACCUUAUUAGUAGUGCCCGUGGUAUGCUGAACCGGCCUGUACCAGCCGGUUUAGCACGUACCGUAUCGGUCCGGUUCAGUCGUGGAAACCGGUGCAAGGCCCGUAGAUGCCGAACCCAGCCAGAGCUGGAGAAGAAGAAGAGAAGGAGAGAGCGAGCGGGAGAGGGAGGGAGGGAGGAGAGGCUUCCGCUGCCUGCGGAGGGCCGACGGGGGGCGGCGGAGCCCGCGGGGGCAAGCGAUUUGCCGAUUUCACUUAAAAAUUUCUAAUUUCUUUUUGCGGCUGCGGCCUCGGCCUCCGCUGCGCCUCCUCAGCCUUUACCGACCCCCUGUGGCCCUCCGUGGGCUCCCACCCUCCCUCCCCUGCUCACUCUCUCUUUCUCUUCUUCCCCGGCUUCGGCUGGGCGCACCCGUUUCCGCGAGGAAGAGCUGGCUGGCUCCCGGUAUCGAGCUGGAACCAUACCGGUCUGGUAGGCAACUGGUACAUCUAUCGGUACCGGUACGACGUACCUUGGUAGUGCCUGUAACCAACGAGGGAAACAAGUUAAUGUUGGUUCUUCAAUAUAAUGUUUAACCUUACUAUGGAUGUUCUUAUAUUUUUUUUUCCAUAUUGAAUUUAAAUUUGCAUGAAAAAUUAUGACCUUUUAGGUGGCAACUGAAGGUAUAGUUUGAAUGCAUUUUCAUGUUCCAUGUUUAAAUUAAUGCUACUCGUAAAAAAAUAUCUGCUGCUUUUCAGUUUUGCAAUUCUUAUAUUUAGUGAAGAACUAAUUCGCUGAAUCAUUGUUAUUUUAUUUGCAUUUUCAGCCUUGAGAAUGCUGGUGAAAGUUCUGUAUUGUCCAUGUUGAGAUCUGUAAGGUUGGUUUUGGGGCUUUUAUGCUGUGGUAGAAUAUCUUCAGUAUUUUCUUCGUGUUCUGGAGUUACUUGUCAGGUUUAUUUCGUAUCUCUUCCUUCUAAAUUAUGCACCAGAUUGUUCACAUACGUCAUGGGGUUUUGCAAGUUGUGUAGUGUGUACUAGUGAACGCUACAAAGAAGAUAAUCUUCUACGGAGCAUAAUAUUUUUUUGCACACAUUUAGAAUAAACUAUACUUCUCAUAUACAUACACUGUUUUAAAUAUAAUAGUAUAAGGUAUAUGCAUGUAUACUCCACAACUAUACACUGAAUUCCUUUUAAAACUUUUGAUGAAUCAUUACUUGAGUUUUGUCCCAACAAAACUGUAGUCUUAAUGAAGUUAUGGAGGGAUGAGGGUAGAAAAAGCAUGAUGCCUAAAUAGCAACUGUAUUGGUGUGUGAAACAAUAUCUUUAUUUGCAGUCAUUUAGGAGCAUGAAUUUAAGGGUCGGUUGACAUGGCACAGCAUGAAACAAUACUUAGUGGACCAUUGCCACACCAGCAAAUGAUAUUGUCACAGUACCGGCCACGUGCAGUACUUGGCAUGCGACAUGUUGACUGGUCCAGUUUAUGCCUAACACUGACACUGCUUGGCAUGUCAUGGUAUUUACUGCAUUAGUAGUAGAGUGGCAUGUCACUGGCACGCAAUACUUCAAUUCUUGUAAUUAUGUGGUUUCUUCAAGGAAAAUGCAGAAAACACUUGUAGGAGAUUGUUCAGUAGGAUGACUAAUAUAAUCCUUCCUAUUUGAGGCAUAUAUGCCCAACUAGGAGGGAGGCAACAAUAGAAGUGAAUGAAUAGUGGUGCCAUAUGUAUGGGAUGAUGUGAGGCAUCAGUUACAUGAUGGUUGGAGCAAUGUUUUGUAAAUUGUGAGGCAGAGUUGUGCAGCUAGAGGUGUGUUCAUUGGCUGGCCUCUAGGAUGGUGCUAAGAGAAAAAGGACAUCAAGAAUUACCUGUAUAUGUUGGAAUAGGGAUGCAUAAAGCAGCCUUUGAAAAACAAACAUAGUGAACAAAAGAAUCUUCUAUAAUUAACAUCAAAAUAUUAAAGUCUUGUCCCUUAUUUUUUGGAUUUUCUGAAGCUGCAUCUAGAAGCAACCGACGAUUCUGUAGUUGCAGGACAUAAAUUUUAAAAAAUAGCCCACUUUACUGUUGUAACUAUAAUGCUUAGAGCAAGGUCAGCGGAAACGAUACUAAGCACCAUACUGGUUUCUCGGCGGCAUGAGUCGGUACGGAUCGUGUUGGGCCUUUACCGAUGGAGGAGACAACACGUAGACCGUGGGAGAGAGGAAAAGAGAGAGAGAAGGGGGAGAGAGGGAUGGAGAAGGAGGGAGCCCGAUGGAGGGCUGGCGGAGGCCGGCCUCAGUCGCGGAAAGCGAGGCCGCGACCACUUUUUUGUUUUAAACGAAAUAGGGGUCCGAUUGCAGCCUUAAAAAAAUUCGCGAUUUAUAAGUGAAGUCGGUAAAUUAAACUUGCUGACUUCACUUAAAAGUCGUGAAAUUAAACUUGCCGACUUCACUUAUAAAUCACGAAAUUUUUUAAGGCAACGGCUGGACCCCUGUUUCGUUCGAAAUAGGGGAAGUAGCUGUGGCCUUGCUUCUCGCAGCCUCCGCUGGCCGUCCGCCGAUGUCCCGCCCUCUCCCUCUCCCUCUCCCUCCCUCCCCCGCUUGCUCUGUCUUCCCUUCUCCUUCUCCGCUCCGGCAACAUGUUUCGUUUCCGUUGCCGGAACCAUAUUGGUGAGCUAUUGGUAUAGCUCAGGACGGUCGGAACCGUCCGGUUCGGGAUGGUUCUGCCUACCCUGGCUUAGAGCAUGUUUGUUAAUCCAGGUACCAGUCAUCAAUGCCUCCCAUGCACUUCUAUAUCUUUUUCAAGCUUUCUAUCAUCAUCUCCACACAUUCUUUCAUUUAGUUUUUAAAUGAAGGGCUCCCUAGACUGUAUGGGGAAACCUGGAUCGUAUUAGCAUUCACCAUGGUACUGAGUCUACUGACACUUAUGAAAAUUGUAUUUAAUAUAUGUCAAACUGGCACUUACAAUGGACAACAUGUUGGCACACUCUCAUCCAUCCCCUUUUCUUCUCUGAAGUUUAUCUGAUGGUGGUUUGCUUCAUUUCUCUUGCUUUUAUCAGCCACCAUAAAGUCUAGAGAAACAAAUGUGCCCAUUGGCACUUUGCAUGAGACCUCAAGCCUCAAUAAUGGUAUGCCAUACCGUACUAAACUUGGCAGUAUGGAGCAUACCAUACAGUACUAGUUCAGUACUGGUAUACGGUAUGGGGGGCAUAUCGACCUUCGGUAUGCCAAAUCGGCCUUGUACCAUACCGUACUGAUAUAUAGAGUGGCACCAGUACGGGGCCCGGUACUAAAACAGCAUACCUUGCUCGAUACUACUAGUAAUGAAGCAAUGUGGUCUUAAUAACUUGUGAUGGCAAGAUAUUCUUUCACAUAAUCAUACUGUCUGAUAGUCAUUUCAUUAAUUAUAUAGUCUUAUUAACUUGUCUAAAUAUAGGAAGAAGCGAAUGGGGGUAUUUGUUGAUAACUAAUUUUGAUGGUUGGUUAUCAAGAGGUGUGGUGAUUUUUUUUUUAAUUAGAUAAGAGAAUGAAACUGUUAGAUCGGGAGAAAGAAGGUGCCUGGUCAAAUCUGUGGUGCAGGGACAAAUUCCCAAUCUCUUUAACGUACUCCACUAACAUACAUGGAUAUCCACCAGUUUUAAGAGAAAUGAGAAAAUUAAAAAAACUAUAUCAUUUAUCACUAUCUUCUCUCUUGCGUAUGGUCUCCCUCCUACAAAUUUUGUCCAUAAUGUCUGUGAACCUUAGGAACCUACACUAAUGCUAAGUAUUAGUUUUUAAUUGAUUUAAUCUUAGCUCUUGAACCAUAUAGACAGAAGUGUUGUGAAGUGAAUUAUCUCAAAUCUCGCCAUAGUACAAUUAUGAUAUCAUAAUUUGAUGUAUAUGUUCCUUUGAUGCAAGUUGUGCAUCCCAAAGUUGUAUCUCAUUGAGGCACCCAGAUUUAUACAUUUAUUAUAACAAAGAUGGGGCUCCCAUAUCUCUGUCACAGCAAUUGAAAUUUACAUAUUAAUGAAGUACAAAAAUGAGCAAACCUAUUAAUAAUUAAAUUCUAAAUCUAAGAACUAAUUUCUAUUUAAUCAUGUCAAGAGAAGGAAAAAAAGGCACUUAGAAGAAGGUGAAAAGUGGAAGAAGAAAAACAAUGGUAAAAGGAAAUAACUUAAGUAAACAUAAUGGUUCGAAGUGUCCAAAUCCUUAGCUGGUCUUGGAACAAUGUUAUAGGGAGGCAUGGAUACCUUUUUGUACCAUUCCUGAAGUGUCCUCGCAGUCUAAAGCAUAUGCUUUACUGCCACCACAUCCAUCUCUCCUAACAUUUGCUUUCUUUGUGCUUCACUUAUAUGAUGUGCAUCUACUUGGCCUAUAGGAGUCAAUACUCCAUAAACUGAGUUUAUGUUAUUACUUGAUAUAUAUUUAAUCCUUCGGAUGCUCUAUAAAUCGUGUAUCUGUAUUCUAUCCAUGUUAUCACCUGCAUUUUAACAGCUGCAAGUUUAAGGCAAAGAAUCAUAUGCUACCAUAGGUAGGAUAUUAACCUGUGAAUGAAGAACCCUUUUUCUGCAAUAUUUUAUGCUUUCGUUCAAUGCUCUUUGUGCUUGUUGUUUUCAUAUAUUCGUUAGCCGUAUGCAACUUCUAAAACUUCACAACCUUCAAAUUAUUUUUGUACUUUUUGGUGCAGAUGAUGCUGCAAUUGGUACAGUCUUCUUGGGUAUUACACCUUAGCUGCAAUAAGCGCAGGGUUGCACCUAUUGCCGCACUUUUAUCUGCAGUCUUGCACCGGUCGGUGUUUGGUGACUUGAGCAUGCAUGAGAUGAAUGGCAGCAAACCAGGUCCCUUAAAGUGGGUCAGUAUUUAUUUGUUUUAAAAACUGUUUGACAAGUUCAAGAUAGACAUAGUGCUUUCUAUCUGUUUAUAUGUUCCACCAAUCUUAGAAGGUAAGAGUUUAAUGAUCUGGUUUUGUGUCAGAAGCCACAGUGUUAUCAACCUGUUUUGAAAACUAUUCAUAUAUUUCAUCAAUCUCCGAAGGUAAGAGUUCACUGAGCCAAUUUGUGUCAGAACCAGGAAUUCUAAAGAAAGUGUAGAGUUGCUGGUUUGGAAUAGCUCCAUGCAUCUGCAAUGAUUUAGGCUAUUAAGAUGUGCCAUGCAAGAAGCUGUUGUUCUAUAUUACUUCAAAUUAUAUUUGGUAUUUCACCAUAUUUGUAGUGUUCAACAAAUAUUUUGCACUGAGAAACAGUUGGUGUAGGUGCAGCUGCUGGUAAGCUAAAUGGUAUUUUGAAACUUUGGCUAUGAAGAUUCAGUGUCUGCAAUUCAGUAUGAGGUUUAGCAAGUUGUAAGAAAGGGUCUACAGGGCAAGUAAAAUAUGCAAAGUGCAAAGUAGUCUGACGAUGUGUGCACCUGUAGCUGCUCUUCAGACAAAGUUUCCAUUGAAAAAUGCUCUUCAGACAAAGUUGUAAUCAUGUGAAAAAACUUCCAGCACCAUAAAUAACAAGCUUUAUUCAGCUUCUAUUGGCACAGAAAACAGAGAUUCUCUUUUUAAAAACAAUUUAUUUCUGAACAAACCUUGCAUAUGCUCUAUAAAUUUCAGAAACAUAAAGUCAUGGGCUUUAUUCUUGCACAAUAUUGUGAAGUGCAGUACCUAUUCAUAGAAAUGUUUCAUAUAGGAAGCAUGCUAUGACAAGGCGGUUUGAUGGGAAAGGAGAUUUUGUAAGAUGCUAUGAAUGUAAAGAGUAGAAAACUAGAAAUAUUAUGAACAAAAAGAUAUAAUAUAACAAAAGAUAAGGAAAGAAUCGUUCUAUAUGGCCAAGCAAUUGUAGAAUAAUGAUUCCUAGAACCAUGGCCUGAUGUUUUGCUCACCCUGCUUUUCUCUGCAUCAAGUUGGAUCCUUGUACCUUGAAAGCCAUGCAUGCUUGUGUUUUAUCCUUGUAUUCAGGAAAUUGACCUAGAACCAAUUUAAUUUAGCUCACAGAUAUGGACUAUUUCUUGAUCACUUGAAUCUAUCCAUUUGAGUUCAUUAUUCAAUGUUCUCUUAAGUUUAAGUGCCUUAAGUAUCCAUUUCAUAUAUUAUGGUAAUAUCUGAUGAUUCUGAUCCAUAUAAUGGUCUGAACACUAAUUGUCAGUUUUGCAAUUACCUUUCCUCUUCCCAUCCAAAAGUUAAUUCUAUCAUCUCCAUGCUUCUUAAAAAAUUGGAGCAAUUUGUUUUAAAUCAAUUGAAUACCAUGGUGGGCAAACCUCAAAGGCUCUGAAGAUGUUUAAUGUUGCUCAUGAAUAUUCAUUUAGAUCCUGUAGGUCCCCUAUAAUUGAUUCAGUAUUUCAUGCAAUAAUGCCUGUUGUCCCAUGCUCAGGCAGGCCCCUAUGAUUACACAUGAACCCGCCUCCCCUUCCUCCCUGCCUAUCCAUUUUUCUAAUGUUUGACAUCCUAUAAGAUAUUCUGUACUAGAUAUGGUUAAGGAUUAGUUUGGUUGAAACUUGAAACCAACAGCCCUGAGAGAUGUUGUUUGCUGCCCCUCUCAGUGGAACAUGCCUCAAAAAGUUGAGAGAAACUCACCAUCUAGACUAUGAUGGCUGAUAGUGGGUCUCGACUCUUGUCCACUGUUGAGAUUCUAGAGUUGAAAGGAACCAGGAAUGAGGAAUACUGAUUCCCAGCAACUUAGUAUAACAUUAUCCACUUAAGACUUUGAUUGAACAUUGAAGUGUAUUUUUAUCUUUCUUUUCCCCCUUAAUCUGACAUUCCGGGCUUUCAUUUUUUUCCUUCAUAUUUUUAGUUGUUACCAACUUGAGAGUAUUGUCUGAUUUGUCCCUAAACUUAGAGCUAUGCUGUCCAGAAACAGAUUUUAAGAUGCCACUCUUUUUAAGAUGCUGUCCAGCAAAAGGCUCUAUCUAUGUACAGGCCUAUUGUGUCUAGUUUUUUAAUUCAGUUAUGAUAAAUUUUUCAUGGGUGGGCUUUGAAUUUUUUUUUUCUUGUAUGCAGUCUGUCUUUCUUCACAAGUUGGUAAGUCUAAACAAUAAAUUUUUCAAGUGGGUUGCCUCUAAAGGCUUAAUCUUUGAGGAGGGAGGGAAGAAUGCACCGAACAUUACUACUUCUUGGUGUGCCAUGUUUCCUGGAUAUCCUUGACUUUUGUCUCUCUUUACUGUUCUCUUAGAGCUCAUGAGGUGAGAGAGAAAGGUCCUGUCAGUCUUCUGUUGCAACCUAAAUCAUGUCGCAAUGCCUUAAUUUGCUUGUACCCAAUCCAUGGCCACUGCCUAGCCAUUUGUGUCAUAGAAAUCUGAGGUUUCAUAUCUUUGGCGAGCUACUUGGGCACCUGCUAGCAUCUAGCAUACAUGAGUAGGAUAUCCAUACCUUGAUAACCUGUCUUUUGGAAUUUUGCCAAACUCGCGUUCCCAUACUUGCUUUCUUAGGCACUUUUUAACCUUAAAUUGUUCUUAAAGCUUCACUUUGCAUUCCUGCAUUAAAAUCUGCUUCCACAUCUGUGCUUUUAAAACUGGUAAGAGAAGGUUACAAACUGUAGUUCAAUUUAUAUUGUUGAUUUCAUAAAGGAGAAAAUCAGAAGAAAAUACUAUAUGUCAUCAUUGCAAUAAACUUUAGAUUAUUGGAAGUAAAACAAGAUAAUGAUAGAUCACCACUUGAUGAAACAAUUGUGAUAUUAAGAACUAGAAAACUAACUUGGAUUCUGGCUUGAUGAACAACUGAUUAUUGUUGGUGCAUCAUUCUGGCUUGUGAGAGCCUGACCAAUUCCAUAAAAAAAUUAUGUUUAAGCAAGUUUUUAAGAACUGACACCAAUACCUAUAUUGGCACAUUGCCUGUAUGUGCGUGCCAAGUGUUGGUAUAAUAUGCUGGUCUUAUACCUAAUGUGAGUAUGGGGAGCAUACUCAGUUCCUAUAGACUUCCCAUGGUAUGCUUAGUACAGAUGGUACUUAAAAUCUUGAUCAGUUUAAGUGUCUUGGAGGAAGUUAGGAUGCAUUAUGGUUCCUUGGAAUCAUCUACUUGUUUUUUGAAGAGCAAAUUUGUCUUGUGAAAUUAUUAUACUAGCAAAGUUUUGAGAUAUUGGUGUUUCAUAUAUUUAAGUUGCUUCUUCAUUUCUGGACCUUGUCUCAUCUUACAUUUUCCUGCUAUCUAUCUUAGCUAGGCCUUCUAUUAUUGCAGAAGGAUUUUAAGGAAGUUUGUAAUCAUUUUUUCUUGUAGUUCAUAGAAAAGCUUCUUGAUGAAGGCACGAAAAGUCCUCGCACUAUUCGACUUGCGGCUUUGCACUUGACUGGGUUAUGGCUCUUGUAUCCUAGAAUAAUCAAAUAUUACAUAAAAGAGUUGAAGUUGCUAACCCUAUAUGGCUCUGGUAGAUUCAUCCUCUUCCAUUAUUUUGUUGUCUUUAUGAAUUAAUUUCAUUGGAUGUCAUUAUAACAAUUGCUUUAUUCCUUUGUUACUAAUUUGUUUUUUGUUUUGGGGGGCGGGGAUAGUGGCUUUCGAUGAGGAUUUUGAAGCUGAAUUUUCUGAAAAUCAUGAAGCAAGAAUUGAAGUUUCAUUGUUAGCUCAAAGCCCAGAUUGUGAGUUCACAGAGGUAAUCCAAAAUGCACCACCAUUAUUAAUUGUGGUUGCAUCAUAAUUGUAUUAAUAAAUUACAUCAUAAUUAUAUUAAUUGAUUAAAAGUUAUGCCUUUGUUUAUUAAUGAUUACUGAACUGAUGUCCUCCCACUUGUCUUCUAAAUUAAGUGCAUGUCUGGAUAUUCCUACAGAAUUGGGCUGAAAAUCAUGUAGGAAUCAGGUCGAUUGGUCCAUAUGUCUUGCAUUGUCUAAGAGCUUGCCCAAAUCCAACCCAGAUUCUAGCCUUUAGGCUGCAAGAAGAAAAAAAAGGCCCAUAGUGGUUUUUUUUCUUCCCACAGGAUUUCGCUUGAGUGGUAUUUGGUUAAUACAGGGCCAUGCUUAAAUGAACGGCCCAAUCCAUGAAUCCUAGAGAAUUUUCAGCCCAAUUCUGUAGGAAUAUCCAAACAGGCCCUCAAUGUUUUUAUAUCCAGAUGCUUGUAAUAUCUCAUAUACCUUUAUAUAAAUGGUUGAAGUUACUGAAACAAAUACAUGCAUUGGUGUGGUAUGGUAUCCAAGUUGGAAAUAGGCUUGGGUUGGCUCCAAGCUUGUCAGGUUGGGUGAGUUUUGGGUUGGGCAUUGGGUUCAGCUUAAAAUAGUUGGGGUUGGGCUUGGGCUUGAUAUCCAAGGAUAGAAAAAUUUUAGGCCAAGUUUGGGUCUUGCCUUGGCCUGGCCUUAGCCCAACCUCAGCUUGAAACCUGAGGCCAAGCCUCCCUGUUCCUUAUCUUAAUCCCACCCUACCCACCCUUCCCCAACUGCCCCAUUCCUCAUCUCAAUUGUACACCCCCUUCCCUCCUUUUCUCUAUUCCCACCAUCCCUCUCUCUGCUCGUCUUGACAGCUCCCCCUCCCCUCCUUGUCUAAAAUCCCUCCCUUCCCGUUCCACAUUCCUGAUACCCCUCCAUCUCGACCCCCCUACUCCCGCUUCCCCUCUACCUCACCCUCCGUUACCUCCAUUGUUGGCAGCACCUUUGCCAUGCCCAAUCCUAGCUGCUUCACUGUUGUUCCUAAGCACAACCUCCACACCACUCCUUCUUCUUCCUCUCCAUCUCCCUCUAGCCUUUUCUCAUGCCCCCUCUCCCUCCCUUUCUCUCCUCUUCCUCUCCAAUCUUAGCAUACAUCAAUAGGCCAUUUGACCGAAUCUUAGCCCCAAGCUGGAGGGGUGGAAGGGGGUUUAUGGUGGUAGGGGGCUGGAUUCCCUUUUUCUUUCUUUCCUUCUCCAGGUCUAGCAAGAUGGAGCUCCAUAUGGGUCAGGUUGGCACGGGCUUCAUUAGGGUCGGGGUCGCUUAUGUUUGGGUUUGCGUUGAGCAAGAGGAUGGCCCAGCUUGGCUCGGCUUGUUUCUAGUCUUAAUGGCAUCACAUUGACACACAGUAAGCCUGUUAGUGCCACCACGAACAAAACCAAUAAGAGAUGAUUUAUAAUUUGGUGGGAAGGGUUGGGACUAAGGGGCAUAUUUAUAUUGGUUCCUUAUUAGGUAUGGUAUGGCUAGUACAGAACCAUAUGGACUAGUAUUUAGGUUUGUAGAAAAUAUAACUAAUAGACUGAUGGCUGUUGAACUUAUUUUAGAUGACGGCAUUAUUGAUGAAAUUAAUACUUUUGCACCCCAAGUAGGAUUGAAGAGGACAAAGAGACAAUUUUGAUAGGAGUUGGAAGGAAUAGUAUAAGGAAUUCCAAAGAGAGAAGAUUUUAUAGGUGGUACUUUAGAUGGUCAUAUUGGGUGUUUUGAGUGAUGUGUGACGGUCAACAAUGGACAUGGGCUUGGUGACAGGGAUGCAGUGGUCAUAUAAUAUUUUAGUCUGCAAUGGCCUCUAUCAAUUACGCUUGUUCGUUAUUUGCAGUACGACUCUCUAAUAUAGUAGUUCUAUUUGUUCUAUUUGUCUUAUUACCCUAUAACAUAACUACGUACUAUGGCCAUCAAUUUUGUACCAUGACAUUUAGUGCAACUUUCCAUGUCACCUUUGUUUUUAGAGAUGGAUGUUACAACUUUUUUUUUCAUUCAUAUGUCUAUGAUUUCAAGCUUAUUGAAUAAGCUAGUUAAAUAUUUGGCUUGUUGCUAGUUGAAUUUCUAGUUGGAGGGUGAUGCACGUGCCACCAACUUUUAAAGUGGUUCCUCUAAUUUAUUCUUGCAGCAAUAUCCUCAUUCAGAUACUCUCAAAAAUAAAAUUUUCUUUUCCUGGUACCAUGUCUGAAGUUUCGCCCGUAACAAACAUGACAUGGAUGAUUUGGUUUUGGCCAAAUUUAAUUGAAAAAUAGGGCCAGUUAUGAAGUUUUGACCAGAACUAACUAUAUAACCAAAUUCAACAUAUUAUAAGCUAUCUAUACCAAUUUAUUUGCCAUUCCUUCAUUGAGGAAGCAUUUUGUCCUGAUUAAAUGGAAUAUGCAUUUUCAGAAGAUUUGAAUGCCAUGCAACAUGGAAUUUGCUAGUUCUCAGAAGAUCUGAAAGCCAUGUAACAUUAUGUUCCAGAGAGACUUAAAAAGUAAAUUCAUUUACAUAUGGCCUACUAUCGCAGAAUUCAAAUCUCAUAGCAUUUUGUUUAUCAUAUGUUCGGUUGCCAUCAGAUAGUCAAAUGAUUACACUCUAAACAAGAUUUUUUAGCAUUAUAUUUUUUAAAACUACUUUAUUUGACUCAGUUUGAAACCAUUGAAACGAAGCACUCAUAUAUUGCAAUGGAAAUAAUAUACUUUAAAAUGAUCUCUAAUACAUUUCCUUGUCAUAUUUUAUUUUUCUUUGUUUUUAUUAUUGUUUCUAUUUCUAUUUUUUUUCUUGGUUUUUAUUGUUUUCAGGGGAAAAGUUGAAACUGGAGCUGAAAUUAUCAGCACCAAGCCUUUUGAACCUUACUUGUUACUAUGAUCUUUUGCUGUCGUUAUAACUGUCGCAAAAGGGUCGAUGUCUCGUGAAUACUGGUCCUGUACUGGCCGAUAUGUGCCAUAGAUGCCAUGAGCCUAUUCAAUCGGGGACAGUACAUAUUGCUAUUGGGUGAACUGCUUUAUAUCGAAGCAUAGCACCCCUAUAUCAUCACAUAUCAUCCAUACUGCUUAGUUUCUGUUUUUCCUUAUUCAUGCCAUGGUGUACCAUAUCACGGAUUGUACCAUACAGGCCGAACGUUAAUAUUGUAUCAGUCCUUGAGAUUUGAAUCCCUGCUCUCACACUUAAUCAUUUAUUAUGAUCUAUAUCAAAUAAGCUUUUCAGCCGACCUAGUUAUAUGGCUUCCUUUGGUUCCUUGUAUUUUUCACAUUUUUGAUAUUUUCAUCCCAUGUCAUAUCUCAAUGAAUUAGGACCUGAAGGAGUUCAUUAGAUAUGAUAUUCCAUGCUUUUGCAGCUUCCUGCUGGUUUGCUUGCUAUAGCAUUUUAUAUCUUGACUUCCAAAUUACAUUUGCUACUGUUCUGUAAAAUCUUUUUUUUAUGCCUUUCUGAUAUGUUAAGAUAUAUUGGCUAUUUAUUAUCUGGUGUUGCACUCUUUCAGUUGUUUGUCAAUACAGAGAUGUACGCUCGUGUAUCUGUUGCUGUUUUGUUCUACAAACUAGCAAAUUUAGCUGACAGGAGAGGUGAACUGGAGAAUCAAGAUACUUUGGCUGCACUUCGAUGUGGAAAAGCAUUUCUACUAGAGCUUCUUGAUUCUGUGGUAUGCGCUUAUAAUACUGAAGUAUAGGGAACAGGUUGUACUAUAGAAGCCUCUUUAAGUUAAUAAGCUUUAUGGUCCCUUGAUAUUUAUGGGCAUGGACUGAACAUCUUAUGUUCUGUUUGACAUCCUGGGAAAUAGAAUUGCUUUAUUGUUGGCAGGCUUGGUGAUAACUGCAUGCGGAAUCGUAUUUUUUUUUUAUAAAUUUUGCAUUUUCUUUUUUGUACACUUCAUAUACAGUAAAAAGCACCUUUGAUCAUCCAUAGAUUUCCAGGAAUGGUCCUAUUUUUUUUGAUAAAUUAGUAUAUGUAUGGCAGAUCAUUUUAAAACACCGAUAUUUCUUUUGCUACGGAUUGAAGUAUCUAUGCCACAUUAUGAUCUUGAUCUAAUUUUCAUCUAUGAAACUGAAAAAAAAGCGAUAAUCGCGCACUGCAUGUCCAUUAGACUUACAUCUGUUGGUCUUAAAAUGACUCAAGCAGGACCAAGUCUUCGCUUGUUAUCCCUGCUUUUUAUGUGCAAAUGCGUAAAAAUUCUCUUGUUAGCCACAAUACAAUAUUAAACUUACAAAUUUCCACAAGAUUAAAGAAAUACAUCAACAGAUUGCUGCAUUCAAACACGUAUACAUGUAUCCUAUGGUCUACAUAGAUUGACUAAAAGAUGCAUGGCCAUCCUUUUUGUGGUGAUACAUUUUUCUUCACUAAAAUUGGUUAUAAGGUUAUGUAACCUUUCCUUGUGGGAUAACACUAAAGCAACAAGAGUCCAAGCACCUUAUUUAUAGCAAAUUCCAUCACUUUCAAGUUCCUAAAGUCAGCUACCUUUUUGCUUGGCAAACUAGAGAUUAGGCUUGAAUUAGUCCUUGUAAUUAUAUGCUUCCGUCUUAUCUCUCAUAUAACAUAGUGAGUUAGUCAAAUGAGAGCUUGGCAUAAUUUAUAACUGAUGAUAUAUGGAGAAAGUAACUAUAGUUUAUUUGCUUCAUAAACAAAAGACACAUUGUUUACAUUUAAGAUACAUUUAUUCAGCAAUGAUAAAAUUUGGUUAAAUUCAUACAUAUGUACGUAUAAAUACAUUCAUAAAUGGGGAAUCCAUGCAGCAUGAUCUAUGUCAUUAGAGGUACCUAAAAACCAAAAUCAUAUGUUAUGGAGGCCUCCUAACCAUGGAUCAAGUGGACAACAAAUAGAUUAUAACAAGUGUUAUUGUGCUAAGCCUAAGCUAUGUGGUAAGGUAAACCCUUAAACUAACCCCUGUGCUUCUAGGGUAGUGGAUUAGUGAUAACAGUGUGAUGGGUCAGUUAAGGCUUGGUUUCAGUGAUUAGGAAAGCCAUGUACUUCAUAGCUAAGAAAAAGAACAAAAUAUUGACGAAAAAAGUGGAACGAGCAAUUUGUUUAGGAUUUAUCAUGUUCUUCUCCAUUUUUAUUUUCUCUUCCUCUCUUUCACUUUAUCUGAAUGUUGACCUUACUCCAUUUUUAUGAUCGACAAGUGAACCCUUAGUUGGGUUUUCAGGUCAAGUAUGGAUCCAUAUAAAAACAGAUUGGUCGGUUAUGACUUUAUUCAUUUCAACUCAAUUAUAGAUGGGGCAGGUAGUGGAUGUGGGUUUUUUUUAAAAAAUUUGACCAGAAUUUGCCCUGAACAAAACUGGACUUGGCCUGACUUAUCAGCAUGCCUGUUUGGAUUCCUCUGAAAUGUAAACUGGGGGAAAACCUGGGGAUUAAGUGUUAACUGAUAUCUCUUAUAAGUAUUCUUCAACAAUCAAAUGCAACUUGUAUUUUUCAUGGAUUCAAAUGCCAAUAGGAAUGGCACGGGUUGGCAAAACAGAUAGUGUGCCAAUGCCAGGUCAGCGCACCAUUGCCCUGUGAUAGUUCAACCGUUGGUAUUUUUUAAAUCCAUUAUUUGUUACAAAGUACCGGUGUAUUCAAAAACCUUGGACUUGUUUUGAGAAAUUUAAUUCAAAGCUUUUGUUGACUUGUUAAAUCAUGUAAUGAUGGACCUGGGAUUCAAUGUCUAACAUUUGUCUUUCUAUGUUUACAACAAGGUUAAUGAUAAAGAUCUUGCAAAGGAACUUUAUAAAAAAUAUAGUGGUGUGAGUAUUCUUUCUUAUCUGCUUUUGGGUUUUAAAUAACCCUAUCAUUUUAAUGGUCAAAGCAUGAGGUAUCACAAUAUGACAUAGUUCUUUUUUAUCAGAUCCAUAGGCGCAAAGUUCGUGCUUGGCAAAUGAUAUGCAUACUGUCACACUUUGUUGAGGAGGAUAUAGUAGAAGAAGUCACAUCUAACUUACAUAUUUGCCUAUGUGUAAGUACAUCUUCAUUCUUUUUAUGUAGCAGACAUCAAGUUAAUUUUUUUUAAUGGUCCAUUGCACUGUGUUGUAGGGCUUGAUGUGUAAUGUUUCACUUAGUUUCUGAAUGUUUAUUGAUGAAUUAUUAAUGUGGUGAAUGGAAUUCUUCUGAACUUGUGAAAUUUUGACUCCAUACAAAGUUUAAUGUUGGUGCGGGAAAAAUUAAUUUUCCUUGUUUUUGUUGUAUAUGUGGAUUUAUUUUUAGGGUUAGUUUUAGAGAAUCCCAAAAGUCUUAGAAUUCAUUGUUUAUUGUGACAGUUAAAAGUCUGAAGUCAUAUGUAUUUGGGGAAUGGCAUGGUCUUUAGUAUUAUGGUUAUGAGAACCCAUAAAUAGAUGACCCCGAACAGUUGGGUCAAGAAUUGAUAGUUAUGGUUAUGGCUAUGGUACAUUCAAUAUUGUGGAGGUUACGCUGAUCAGGAGUUCUGUGUCAAGUCAAAUUAUGUUGAAAGGGACAAAGGGCCAUAAUAGGCAAGAUGAAACCUAAAGACUAGGAACUAGGAAGCAUUAUUUUCAUGUUGCUUUGGUGUCUCUGGAAAUGAAUCUGUGUAGAUCAUUGUAUUUUGUAAAAUAUAUGGAUUAUUUAGAGUGAAUUUAUCUCUUAAGAUUCCAUAUAUAUAUAUAUAUAUGAUAUAUCUCUUCUAUUCUUCUUCUUGCUCUUGCUUCUCUUCUUAUAUAUCAACUUCUUAUCAACCACCACACGUAAAACCCCCCAGUGGUUCACAUAUGAGCUGGUAUAUACAUAUUGCCCCAGGUACAAAUAUCAACUUCAUGCAGAGACUGAUCUGAAUGAAAAUGUGCAAGUCAAAAACAAGAAUUGCGAAAGGCCAUUUGUACAUUGAUCUAGCUCUCUGUCUCAAGAAAUUGACAAUAUACCAAAUCUGAAUGAACAUUCAGAAGACACAAUUUGGAUAUAAAUGCUUUUUAUAGACAUACUUUUUUGCAUAAGUUUGGAAGUGCAUACAUCAUAUUUGAUAUAUUAUACCACUGAAAGAUGAUCUGCAACAUGUUGGCUUGAUGGAAUCUCCCAUAGAUGGAUGAAUCUGUAUAGUUCAUAUUAGAAACUUUAAGUAAUGGUCCCUGGAAGCUGGCUUCCGUCUCUGAAAGUUUUGAGCUGUUAUGGAAAUGAAUGCAGCAAUACACUGCUCUGGAUUACUCUAAAAUAUAUAAAUAUGCCAAGAACUCGUGCUCUACGAACAAGGCAUCAUAUAGGGGUUUGUCUGUUAAGUAAUUUUGUACUUUAUAUAUACUCACUCCAUAUACAGGGACAUAUGAACUAUCAAGCAUUUCAGCUCGUCAGGACUUUAAGAGUAUGCCAUAGAUACAUUAGAAAAACAUGCUAUACACCCUUGUCUAGUGAUGGGAGUAAGGAAUCACAAAUCUACAACCAAAACAAGUUCAUCUUAUGUAUCAAGUAUGUAGAGUAGAGGGAGUAAUAUGGACAACUUGUUGCGUUCAUGUAUAUUUCUUCAUGUAGCUAUCUGUCAUUUGUGGUUGCUAUUAUGAAUGUGCAAAUGUAGUUAUAAACUGACAAAGUUUUUCUUGCAUUGUAGAGAAACAAUUUACCAGCUGUCCGACAAUAUCUGGAAACUUUUGCAAUACAGAUAUUCUUAAAAUUUCCACUACUGGUAAGAAGCUGGAUCAUUCUCUGACUAUUUUAUUGCCUUUUGAGGAAAUCCCACAAUUUCUGGUUUUGAUAAAUCACAUGUACUGAUUGACCUGGUGUUAUCUGUUCCUAUGAUGUUUUAAAAAAUUUUUGUUUAAAGCGUAGUUUCGUUAUGGAAGUUGUAAUAUGCUGUUUAAUAAUUAUUGUCAUUUUGUGUGUAUUAUGCAUGGGAACAUGUUGAACUGAUUGCUGUGUUUCUAUUGGUUUGUAAAAAUCAUUUUCAUGCUCCACUAUUUUCUUUUGCAAAUUUUGUUCAUUGAUAUCCAAAAAGCUUGCCAUGGCCCGCUUGACAAUGUUCGCAUUCUUCCUAAUUGCUUAGGAGGCAAAGAUUCUGCCACAAAACACGUUAACAUAAUAGGAGGAUGAAUUUUUCUCACCUUCUAAUUUCUCUGUGCUACUUGAAUUGAAGAUUUGUGUUAUAAUCAUAUUUCUAGCAAGAGCAUUAGAAGGUAAAUGGAGCGUAAGGAGAAACAGAUCGUAAUCGAGUCAGUAUCACUACCAAGCUAUUGGGUCAAGUGUCUAAUAUUAACAUCAUAUUAUUUAACCACGUUUCACAUAUACAAUGCUUUACACCCAAAUUACAACCUUCUAUAAACUGGGUGGAGUUGAAGUUAAACCAAAUUUGAGAUGGAAGUAACCAAAAGAAGAUGAGUAGGGAGAAGCCGGGGAAAAUUUUGUGGAAGGUUUGGUAUUGAAUGUCAUCUUAAUCCAACAGACAAUAAUAAGGCCAUGAUAAAUUCGUGCAUUCAUUGGGCUGGCUUUGUUUAUAGUGCAUGGAAUAGGUCUAUUCACGCUAAAAAAGCUAAGCUCAAACCUAGCUUGAAGUAUAUUUGAUCCUAAUGAAGUAGCCAAACCUGUGGUCCAUGUCUUGGAAUUGUGAUAUCUAACCUUAAUUUCAUUUGUUGAUGAAAUCCAACCAUGUCAAACUAGCUGCUCAACAACCUAAUCUCGUCCAUUGUAGUUGAGCUAGUUAGCCAUCGCAUAUCUAGAUCACAAGAUUGCAACCUAGGAUAUGCUAACGCCUUGUAAGUUAAGUUGAAAGUCAUGCAAGUCAUGAAAGCUGGCAAAUUUUGGUUAACCACUAAUCAUGUAACCUAUGUAUCCCACUUGCAUAGCUACAAAUAACCUCCAUGAAAUUUAACUACUAAGUACAUCAUAAGAAGUCACUUCCUCUGGAAUGAAAGCCAUUCUAUUUACCCCACUUUCCAAUCCCACUAUACCAAAUUCUCUACUCCAAUUAAAAGAAAAUGUAAACCAAAUGAUUGAGAUGUAGUUGUACAGCUAAAGGUAUGCAUAGUUAUUGGUGAAGAACGGCCUUUGUUCUUAUAAUAUCUCAAGAAAAAUAAAGUUGAUUUACAAAACUAUAGGGAACCUUCUACGACUUAAAUUUUUGAGCCACACUUAAAUUAUGGAUAUGUUUGGUUGACCAAAGAUUAAGAUAGGCAAUAAAACAUAUUUAAGAGAUUUAGGCCAUGUAGGUCAACUGCCCAAGUGAGUUUUUUGGCUAUAAAAAAUGGUGUAGAUAUUUAAGGAGAGAAGGAAAUUGUACAUGGUUUAUAUUGAGCUAGAGUAAGUGACAAAUUAUCUACCAUUUAAGGUCUUCUCAUGGGCUUGGAAGAAGAUUAUGUGCAAAACUACAUGGAUGCCAUUAAAGAGGUGCAUAAGAGUGCACAAACGAGUAUCUGAAUCAAGGAUUGAUAUACUGAGGAUCAAACCAUACUGACCGAGGGUGGAUUUGAUAUUCAUGGAACCAACGAUCGUACCAAUAAGGGAUAUUGAUAGGAUGCAUAGACACACCUCAAACACCUCUGUUAAGACCUGUUUUGUCCUCCAAACUCUAAUUUUGUGUUUCUUAUUAUGUUUUCUAGCCCAAAUGCUAUAUUUUUGCCUUGAUUACCAGUAGUGGUUCAGGUGCAGAUAUGGGAAGCGAGUCUUGCAAAAUAGUUAGUAAGCUUAAAAAGUGGGUCCAAGAAUAAGUUUACAAGGAGUUUGGUAGUAGGUUCGCUAUCCUAAUUGGAAGAUUUCCGCUACUAUGGUAAUGUGACUAUCAAGUUAAGUAGCCUAGUUAUGGUUUCCUCUACUGUAGGAUUAAGAAGCAUGCAUAUUUAUCACAUAAAUAAUGCAUCAUACAUUAUUUGAAUUACAUAUAUGACAUAUAAAUGUAUAAAUAGCAUUUGAAAACAAUUAGAUUACUAGAAAUUAUAAUUCGGUAUAGAAGUGGUGUACCAAAAGUUACAACUAAUAGAUUGAUGUGCACUAAAGAAGUCUAGAUUUUUAUAGACGAGGUAGAAGUGCAAGUGUAAUUAUCUAACACUUUCAAGCAUGAUCUGCCGUAUCGCCCCGUAUCGGGCUGUAUGGGACGUACCAUACCAUCCCGGGCAGUAUGAGACGUACCAUACCGUACCGGUACGAAACUCAAUUUCAAGUCGCUACAAGCCACGCACCACUCCGUAUCGAGGCGUAUUGAGGUGCAUACUGGUCUGUACCAAGGCGUACCGAUCUGUAUCGACGCGUACCGAAAUAAAAAUUGAGAAAAAUGAUUAGAGAGCUAUUUCGGUAUACGGGUAUAUUGUACCAUACCGAACCGAUAAGGUGCCGAUACAGUAUUCAGUACUGAGAUUGCGAAUAUUGCUUUCAGGCAAAGUCGACGGAACCGUUCCGAACCGUCCGGUUUGGGGCAUCUCGAGUCGUACCAGCGGCGGAUCAGGACGGUUCCGAUAAAGAAACCGAGAUGCCAUUGCCCUCCCUCUCCCUCUCUCUCCCCAGCUUGCUAUCUUUUUUCCUCUUUGCCACGGUCUCCUGUGUCGGUGCAGGCCCAGCACGAUGCGAGCCCAUACUG
rnacentral:lncRNA from 1 species